GUUUUGGGUACUUCAAAUUACAAACAUAAUAAAUAAACAUAAGGGACGAUAUACAGUAGCUGUUAAAAUGUCAUCUCCCUUGUGUACCCUGAAUAUGGAUAUAAACACCGUUUUUCUGCGUUUCUUCGACUAAUUCUUUCAUGGGUUUAUCUCGCAUAGUGUUAACGUCUUUCUCCUUGUUGAAAUGGCAAUUGUGACCAUGCCAGUAACAUCCUAAUUAAAUAAGGUAUAAAAAUGAAUAAACCUGAAAAGAGAGAUGUUAAACCUACAAAGAGAAACAACCAUGCAAUUGCUUAAAACUCAUUAAGCUCAUCCUAAGCACAAAGUACGCCCCUUGCCAAAAACUCAUUAACCCCCUCCCACGCAAUUAAGUUAAUCCUAACUAAUUACCUUAAAACAACAACUUAUAGUCCACUAAUUGCUUGAUGAUUUCUCUCGUAUUUCCAGAUGAAAAGAAACACUUGGGUUGAUCAUAUCCAGGUGCGUCCGGGC